CUGGAAGCAGCGCUGGUGCCCCGGACUCGGCCGCACCCUGUUGCUGCAGCAGCCGCGACCCCGCCCCCACCCAACCCCUCGGCCCGCCCCUUUCCCGGCAGGCCCCGCUCUGGUCCGCAGCGCUCCAGAUCUCGGCAGCCCGGGGGUCUUGCCAGGCUCUCCCGCCAGCCCCGGCCAGGAAGCUCCGCCCCCUACCGAGGCCACGCCCUCCCAGGCAGGUCGCUGGGUACCCGCCGUCCGCCGUGAGUAAGCAGGUUGCCACACUACCAUCCAACUGGCAAAACCGCAGACCCAGCAAUAACAUACUAGGCGACCCCCAACAGCCGCCCUCUGACAAUCCAUGGACCCAAGACUCCCGCAGCCGCCCCUGAGAAGCAACCCGGAAGACAUCAAAGGCCACAGACCGGAUUCCCAAGGGUCUGCGGAAAGCCUUACAACACACUACAGAGCUGAGGGGCUGAAAGACGGGGUGUUGCCCCUAAACCCAUGACCUACCACCAAGUCUAAUCCCCACCCAGGUCCUCCCUCCCAUCACUCUGUCUCACCGACCCUAUAAAUCAUUAAUAAAUAA